AUUAGUGGCGAACGGGUGAGUAACACGUGAGUAACCUGCCCUUAACUCUGGGAUAAGCCUGGGAAACUGGGUCUAAUACCGGAUAUGACUCCUCAUCGCAUGGUGGGGGGUGGAAAGCUUUAUUGUGGUUUUGGAUGGACUCGCGGCCUAUCAGCUUGUUGGUGAGGUAAUGGCUCACCAAGGCGACGACGGGUAGCCGGCCUGAGAGGGUGACCGGCCACACUGGGACUGAGACACGGCCCAGACUCCUACGGGAGGCAGCAGUGGGGAAUAUUGCACAAUGGGCGAAAGCCUGAUGCAGCGACGCCGCGUGAGGGAUGACGGCCUUCGGGUUGUAAACCUCUUUCAGUAGGGAAGAAGCGAAAGUGACGGUACCUGCAGAAGAAGCGCCGGCUAACUACGUGCCAGCAGCCGCGGUAAUACGUAGGGCGCAAGCGUUAUCCGGAAUUAUUGGGCGUAAAGAGCUCGUAGGCGGUUUGUCGCGUCUGCCGUGAAAGUCCGGGGCUCAACUCCGGAUCUGCGGUGGGUACGGGCAGACUAGAGUGAUGUAGGGGAGACUGGAAUUCCUGGUGUAGCGGUGAAAUGCGCAGAUAUCAGGAGGAACACCGAUGGCGAAGGCAGGUCUCUGGGCAUUAACUGACGCUGAGGAGCGAAAGCAUGGGGAGCGAACAGGAUUAGAUACCCUGGUAGUCCAUGCCGUAAACGUUGGGCACUAGGUGUGGGGGACAUUCCACGUUUUCCGCGCCGUAGCUAACGCAUUAAGUGCCCCGCCUGGGGAGUA
rnacentral:rRNA from 1 species